ACUAAGCGUACACGGUGGAUGCCCUGGCAGUCAGAGGCGAUGAAGGACGUGCUAAUCUGCGAUAAGCGUCGGUAAGGUGAUAUGAACCGUUAUAACCGGCGAUUUCCGAAUGGGGAAACCCAGUGUGAUUCGUCACACUAUCAUUAACUGAAUCCAUAGGUUAAUGAGGCGAACCGGGGGAACUGAAACAUCUAAGUACCCCGAGGAAAAGAAAUCAACCGAGAUUCCCCCAGUAGCGGCGAGCGAACGGGGAGGAGCCCAGAGCCUGAAUCAGUGUGUGUGUUAGUGGAAGCGUCUGGAAAGGCGCGCGAUACAGGGUGACAGCCCCGUACACAAAAAUGCACAUACUGUGAGCUCGAUGAGUAGGGCGGGACACGUGGUAUCCUGUCUGAAUAUGGGGGGACCAUCCUCCAAGGCUAAAUACUCCUGACUGACCGAUAGUGAACCAGUACCGUGAGGGAAAGGCGAAAAGAACCCCGGCGAGGGGAGUGAAAAAGAACCUGAAACCGUGUACGUACAAGCAGUGGGAGCCUCUUUUAUGGGGUGACUGCGUACCUUUUGUAUAAUGGGUCAGCGACUUAUAUUCUGUAGCAAGGUUAACCGAAUAGGGGAGCCGAAGGGAAACCGAGUCUUAACUGGGCGUUAAGUUGCAGGGUAUAGACCCGAAACCCGGUGAUCUAGCCAUGGGCAGGUUGAAGGUUGGGUAACACUAACUGGAGGACCGAACCGACUAAUGUUGAAAAAUUAGCGGAUGACUUGUGGCUGGGGGUGAAAGGCCAAUCAAACCGGGAGAUAGCUGGUUCUCCCCGAAAGCUAUUUAGGUAGCGCCUCGUGAACUCAUCUCCGGGGGUAGAGCACUGUUUCGGCAAGGGGGUCAUCCCGACUUACCAACCCGAUGCAAACUGCGAAUACCGGAGAAUGUUAUCACGGGAGACACACGGCGGGUGCUAACGUCCGUCGUGAAGAGGGAAACAACCCAGACCGCCAGCUAAGGUCCCAAAGUCAUGGUUAAGUGGGAAACGAUGUGGGAAGGCCCAGACAGCCAGGAUGUUGGCUUAGAAGCAGCCAUCAUUUAAAGAAAGCGUAAUAGCUCACUGGUCGAGUCGGCCUGCGCGGAAGAUGUAACGGGGCUAAACCAUGCACCGAAGCUGCGGCAGCGACACUAUGUGUUGUUGGGUAGGGGAGCGUUCUGUAAGCCUGUGAAGGUGUACUGUGAGGUAUGCUGGAGGUAUCAGAAGUGCGAAUGCUGACAUAAGUAACGAUAAAGCGGGUGAAAAGCCCGCUCGCCGGAAGACCAAGGGUUCCUGUCCAACGUUAAUCGGGGCAGGGUGAGUCGACCCCUAAGGCGAGGCCGAAAGGCGUAGUCGAUGGGAAACAGGUUAAUAUUCCUGUACUUGGUGUUACUGCGAAGGGGGGACGGAGAAGGCUAUGUUGGCCGGGCGACGGUUGUCCCGGUUUAAGCGUGUAGGCUGGUUUUCCAGGCAAAUCCGGAAAAUCAAGGCUGAGGCGUGAUGACGAGGCACUACGGUGCUGAAGCAACAAAUGCCCUGCUUCCAGGAAAAGCCUCUAAGCAUCAGGUAACAUCAAAUCGUACCCCAAACCGACACAGGUGGUCAGGUAGAGAAUACCAAGGCGCUUGAGAGAACUCGGGUGAAGGAACUAGGCAAAAUGGUGCCGUAACUUCGGGAGAAGGCACGCUGAUAUGUAGGUGAAGUCCCUCGCGGAUGGAGCUGAAAUCAGUCGAAGAUACCAGCUGGCUGCAACUGUUUAUUAAAAACACAGCACUGUGCAAACACGAAAGUGGACGUAUACGGUGUGACGCCUGCCCGGUGCCGGAAGGUUAAUUGAUGGGGUCAGCGCAAGCGAAGCUCUUGAUCGAAGCCCCGGUAAACGGCGGCCGUAACUAUAACGGUCCUAAGGUAGCGAAAUUCCUUGUCGGGUAAGUUCCGACCUGCACGAAUGGCGUAAUGAUGGCCAGGCUGUCUCCACCCGAGACUCAGUGAAAUUGAACUCGCUGUGAAGAUGCAGUGUACCCGCGGCAAGACGGAAAGACCCCGUGAACCUUUACUAUAGCUUGACACUGAACAUUGAGCCUUGAUGUGUAGGAUAGGUGGGAGGCUUAGAAGUGUGGACGCCAGUCUGCAUGGAGCCGACCUUGAAAUACCACCCUUUAAUGUUUGAUGUUCUAACGUUGACCCGUGAUCCGGGUUGCGGACAGUGUCUGGUGGGUAGUUUGACUGGGGCGGUCUCCUCCUAAAGAGUAACGGAGGAGCACGAAGGUUGGCUAAUCCUGGUCGGACAUCAGGAGGUUAGUGCAAUGGCAUAAGCCAGCUUGACUGCGAGCGUGACGGCGCGAGCAGGUGCGAAAGCAGGUCAUAGUGAUCCGGUGGUUCUGAAUGGAAGGGCCAUCGCUCAACGGAUAAAAGGUACUCCGGGGAUAACAGGCUGAUACCGCCCAAGAGUUCAUAUCGACGGCGGUGUUUGGCACCUCGAUGUCGGCUCAUCACAUCCUGGGGCUGAAGUAGGUCCCAAGGGUAUGGCUGUUCGCCAUUUAAAGUGGUACGCGAGCUGGGUUUAGAACGUCGUGAGACAGUUCGGUCCCUAUCUGCCGUGGGCGCUGGAGAACUGAGGGGGGCUGCUCCUAGUACGAGAGGACCGGAGUGGACGCAUCACUGGUGUUCGGGUUGUCAUGCCAAUGGCACUGCCCGGUAGCUAAAUGCGGAAGAGAUAAGUGCUGAAAGCAUCUAAGCACGAAACUUGCCCCGAGAUGAGUUCUCCCUGACCCUUUAAGGGUCCUGAAGGAACGUUGAAGACGACGACGUUGAUAGGCCGGGUGUGUAAGCGCAGCGAUGCGUUGAGCUAACCGGUACUAAUGAACCGUGAGGCUUAACC
rnacentral:rRNA from 1 species